ACAGAGGGGGCAAGCGUUAUUCGGAAUUAUUGGGCGUAAAGGGCGCGUAGGCGGCUUGGCAAGUGGAUGGUGAAAUCCCUCGGCUUAACCGAGGAACUGCCGUCCAAACUGCUUUGCUUGAGACCGGGAGAGGUGAGUGGAAUUCCCAGUGUAGCGGUGAAAUGCGUAGAUAUCUGGAGGAACACCGGUGGCGAAGGCGGCAUCCUGGACCGGCAUUGACGCUGAGGCGCGAAAGCCAGGGGAGCAAACGGGA
rnacentral:rRNA from 1 species